rnacentral:lncRNA from 1 species
CUCAUCCUGGCCAUUGCCUAACUUUGAACAAUUUCACUGUUCAUUCAUACUUCCAAAAAAAUUAACAAAAAAGCAGUAAAAACUAAAACCUAUUGUUUUAAUUAUAUAUAUUAUUUUAGUCGAAAUUUUUCUGGUCAUCGCUCUUGCUAAUAGGAUGCCUUCAGAUUAUUAGUGAUUGUUAUUUAUCCAAGAUAUAACUGGCUCUCAUUAUAUAAAAAAUAGAACAGGCUACUGUAGAAAUAAAACUGUCCAGAAGCAAUUUCUAAGGGUCUGUCUCAAUGAACUAUACUUCAACAUAGCAAUUGAAGCAUUACUUUAAAUAACACAUAUCAGCUCUAUAGUGAAAAUCUCUUUUAAAAUCAUGCACUUUCAUUUGAAUGGCACUUAAUUAAUAAGACUUACAACAUAAUAAUGCCACCAUGCACUUGUCCAAUGCAUUAUAUAUUUUUAAAUACUUACAUUUGUAUGGUUUUUGCAGGUAUUUUUUUAUACAAUUUAGCUGCCUUUUGAUACUGUUUAGCUGUUUAUCAGGAUUUAAGAGAUAUUUAAAAAACCACACACAAAAAUUUUCCACUUUACAGAUAUAGACACUAAAGUGCAAAGAUAUUCAACAGACUUGAUAAAGAUCCCAAGGCAAGUGAGAGUAAGGCCAGAAGCAGAAUGAAGGCCCUCUACUCUGAUAGGUUUCUUCAAAGUAGCUUCCUGGUGAAACUAUAUUCAGUAACUACACUUUAGAACACUGUGAAAUUCUAAAUAGAAUGGAAUGUCUAUUAUCUACACAGAAAUCUUUUCAAGCGUAUCUGUUUGAAUACAAGUUUGACUAGGAGGUCCCUAGGAGCCUCUGUCUCUGGAGGCAGAGGCUCAAUGUCAUAGGGUGGUCACAGAGUUAUCAUUUUUAGGGGUGUGGUGGGGUGGGACUGUUGUUGAAGUAAAAGGAGGAGGGUUAGACCUGCCCAACUAGAGGUUUCUUCUAGUUUUUAUAUUUUUAAGACAGUUUAUUAUUAUGUGGCCAAUGAACCAGCAGGUGGCACUACACAACAAUUUUACACAGGCAAAAAUAAGUUCCCUUAGGGCGAAAAAGAUGAUGUUUUCUCAAAUGGGACCUUUGGAAGGAUAUGGACCUGUACAACAUGCACGCCUACCGGGGAAAAAGGACUGAAAAUAGUUGUUCGAAUAGGAUGCCCUUCACCCCGAAUGUGAUCAACACUACUCUGACAAUUUACACAAACAAGAAGUGACCACUUUAAAGAUGGAAUGCCAAGAACAAUACAAUAAAUGCUAAAGAGAAAGAGUGACAAAAGUGAGCAACUACAGAUAAUGCAGUCAUGGAACCAGAAAAAGAGGUGAAAACCACAUUUGCAUAUAAUUGCAGCUUCCUGAUACUUUAGACUUUUCUCAUGCCAUUUUGCCUUCAUUCUCUAUACUUCCAGGUACAUGACUUUCUUUCUACUUGAGAAAUAGAAAUAAAAUCCUAAGUCCCCAAUCUGACUCAACACACCCCCUCCUGGCCAAGGAGACCCCAGGGAAACCUUAAAAACUCAAUUCCCAGCUAUGACCAGAGAGGUAAGGUCACUCAAUCAUUAUACCCACUCCUUUGCCACCAUUAGACUCUCUUUCCUAAGAGUUGAACAGAAACUAGCACUUUUGAAAGACUUGCUCCACUGCUGAUUUCAACCAACCACCUCAUUCUGCAGCAGAGCUCCCUUCCCCUUUUAUGGUCUCAACGCAACUGACCAGCAUUUCUUCCUGGAAAGAAACCAUGGACUGUGGACUGCUUCUAGCUGGUCCAUGGAGACUGUGCAUAGGGUGCCUCUGCAUUUAAACGUUGUGUCUCCACCUCAAAGUGCACAUGGGAUGUAUGUAACAUGCAUGUUUGCUUACUACG